AGUUCAAUAUGCUUUAUAGGAAAGGUCCAGAGAAGGAGCUGCCAUGCUGAGGGUUACUUGCUUGUGGGUGUGCAUAUGCUAUUUGGAGGCAUUCACUGGACUCACAAGACUCUUUCUAAAGAUAUGGCCUUGGGAUGCAGCCCAGCUUCGAACUUAUGCUCCACCCUCGACUUCCUCCCAGGUGCUGGGGUUGUAAGUACGCAGCACCACGCCCAGCCAUUUUUGCUUGUUAAAGUGGGAAGAGAAGCAUCUGAAUGGCUCUGGCCCCGAGGCCGCUGGGGCUCCUGUGCUCAGUGUCAACGCAGGAGAUCAAGUCUGUCUGAAGUUAGAAGAACGAGAACAGAGAAAACUGGCUCCAGGCAGGGUGGUGCACUGAAGCUGGGGAAAGGCAGUUAAGUCCAGAAUCUAUUUGAAGGUGCAUCCACACCCCACACCUAGAUCAGAUGUAGUUGUAAGAGCAAGAGAGGUGUGUGGAAGGACUGGGGUGUCAGUCUGAACAAAUGGAAGAGAGCUUCACUAUGGAAGUCAUUCAUUCAUUCAUUCAUUCAUUCAUUCAAUUUAUCAAUUGAAUCACAUUAUCUAGUGUGUGCAUGUGGGACAAGAGGAUAAUUUGUGGAAGUCAGUUCUCUCCUUAGACCAUAUGGGUCUUGGUGAUGGAAUUCAGGCUGCCUGGUUUGGCAGCAGGUGCCUUUACCCACUGGGCCAUCUCCACUAUCCCGUGGCUGUUAUUCCUAAUGAAUGGAUCAACUACUGCAUGAAAAUAUAAGGCACAGCCAUUACUCACCAGGUACUAGCGCUCGCCCCCUUCCACAUGCUGUAGGAAUAGUCAGCGUUUCUGUAGGACAUGACGCUCACCACCCCUGAGAGGAACCAGAACAGAAGAACAUAGCCCUUCACUUCCUGGGCAAGCUGGAUGGGCCUGGUGAGCCCUCUGUGGUGUGGCCAACACUGGGCUUCUCACAGGAACUGUGUGAACUACUUGAGCUGGGAAUCAAAUAGAACAUUCUGCUCCCAUUCAGAGAGGAUGGGAGAGCCCCGCAGAGUCUGGAGAUAGGUGUCUUGGUUUGCAUGCAAGUAUUUUGGUAAGUUAAGCCAAAAUGCCUCAAAAAGAGAACAUGCCAUGGUUUUUCUUUCUUGUUAAAAUUCUUUAUAAGUAAUCAUAUAUGUAUAAUUCUUAACAAUUUAAAUAUUAUGUUCAAUAAGAUAUUUGCUUAGAAUUCUGAAAAAUGAUGUAU
ensembl:antisense Gm13449 predicted gene 13449